rnacentral:tRNA from 1 species
GCGCCCUUAGCUCAUUGGUAGAGCGUUCCCUUGACAUGGGAAAGGCAGUAGGUCCGAUUCCUGCAGGGCGCA